rnacentral:rRNA from 1 species
UGAGUAUUUGAUCAUAGUAUAAAAAUUUAGGGCUGGAUAAAUGCACAUAGUAUUUUAUUGAAUUAAGGGAUAGUCUUUCGACAUUAGUGUGUAAAAUUAAGCUAUUAGGGAAAUCUAGACUUAGUUAUUGGGCUUGUGAGGCGGCUUAUGGGAGUGCCAGCAGCCGCGGUUACACUUCUGCCUCGACUGAAUUUGUGUGGUUUUGUUAGAUGCAAUUGUGUGGAAACUUUGUUUGGGUUGUUUUGUCUGGUUAAAUAGGGUAAAAGUGUCAGUGUAAAGAGAAGUUUUUGUGUUUCUUACUUAAACUCGAGUAAAAACCGGGAUUUGAUACCCCGUUAUUCGUGGGGUAAAAUUAAUUUACCAGGUGACUAAGAAUUAGUUUUUGAAAGUCAAAUGAAUAGGCGGUCUUUAAGAAACAAACAGGGGAACUUGGGGGUUAAAAGAUGAUCCACUUGAAUUUGUUCUCUAUCUUAAUAUUGCGUGUGUAUGGUUGUUGGUAUUUAUAUGUGUAAAGUAUUGAUGAGAUUCUUACUAAGAAGAAAUUCAGAUUAUCAUGCAGCUAUGGUGGAGCUUUCCUGAGUUACAGUCAUUAUUUGUUGGUCGGAGGAUUCGAAAUAAAUUUGGAGCUUGAAGUAGGACUUGUUAGUAAGGCGUUUGCAUUUUGUGUGUCUGAAUAGCGAAGUAAAGGAGUACUAAUCGCCCGUCGCUCGCAGAGAAAUUUGGGAUAAGUCGUAACAAGGUAACAGUACCGGAAGGUGCUGUUAAGUCAUA